UAAUCCGCUCUUUUCAGAGCGACCAACAUAUUUUUACAUGGAACAU
rfam:Camponotus floridanus CamFlo_1.0_3.contig2769, whole genome shotgun sequence.